ensembl:lncRNA
ACCCAGGGAUUGAAACUGCAUCUCCUGCACUGGCAGGCAGGUUCUUUACCACUGAGCCACCAGGGAAGCCUGAGCCUACUUGGAGACAGCUUGUUAAAUCAGUAAAUUGGUGUCAAGUGAAACCAUGAAUAAGGGAUAAGAGUUUUCAGAGUCAAUGUGGGUUCUAAAUGAAGGGCAUGUGGAAUUAACGGCAGGGCUGACAGCACUUAGGGAUGUCCUGUGUAGGCCAAGAGCCUCCCUGUUUGCUUCGUGGGGACUGGAUCCACCAGGCAGAGCCCAUUAGCGCCGACUGAGCACACAGCGGUGCUGAGGGACCACGCUCACUCUGUCUCUCUGGAUCCCUCUCACAGAGUCUGUGAUUCUCCCAGUCACUGUCUGUGGGCUGCUCCCUCUCAGCCGGCUUCCAAGUAUAUCUUCCUCUUCCUCCCAGUCUCUGGGUCUCUGACUCUCGGUCUCCUUUUCUCUAGCAUCCAAAGCCCAGGAGAACGGAUCCUCUCUUUCAGUCUCGGAGGGCCAGUCCCUGCGCCUGGUCUGCGUCGUUGACAGCAACCCCCCCGCCAGGAUCAGCUGGGCCCGGGGGAGCCUGACCCUCAGCGCCUCGCCGCCCAGCCACCCAGAGAUGCUGGAGCUGCCGCGGGUGCUCACAGGAGACGAAGGGGAGUUCACCUGCCGAGCUCAGCACGCCCUCGGCUCCCAGCACGUCUCCCUGAGGCUCUCGCUGCAGAGGCGGUCAGCGCGCCCGGCAGAGGCGGUCCUGGUAGCCAUCUGGGAAGUGGCUGUCAAGACCCUGCUCCUCCUCCUCUUUCUCCUGGGCCUCCUAGUGAGGUGCUGCACAAGGACUUCAGCCAGGCCAGCAGGGGGCGUGUCAGAGGCAAAGGAAACCCCACCUUUAACCCCUCAGCACAGCUCAUCUUGAAGCCCAUCUCCUCCCGGUCCUGACCCUGGUCCUUCCAGCAGCCUCAUCUCUUCCCUGAGUCGCUGAACCCAUGCAUCUCCUGCUUCCUCUCGCUGGGAAGCACGGCCCUCGGGUCAGAGGACUCACCAGAGACGGUUCCGUCCACUGCCCGCACAGUCGGAGCAGCUCUGUUUCCUCCCCACGCAGGGGAUGGAGCGGCCCACACCACAGGCUCCUCAGCCCAUGGGUUUUCCCCAGCCAAGAAUGCUGCAGUGGGUUGCCAUGUCCUUCUCCAGGGGAUCGUCCCCACCCAGAAACUGAACCUGAGUUUCCUGCUUGGCAGGCAGAUUCUUUACCAUUGAGCUACCUGGGAAGCCCUAAAGUGUACUGUAUACAAUGUUAAAAAUAAUUUUUAUUUUAUGAGUAUUUUACUGAAAUAAAGCAAAAGGAAUGAGGA